GACGAACGCUGGCGGCGUGCCUAAUACAUGCAAGUCGAACGCACUCUCGCUUAGAUUGAAGGAGUUUGCUCCUGCGAACGAAACAUUUGAGCGAGUGUCGCCCGCGUGAGUAACACGUGUGUAACCUGGCCACAAGUGCUGGUACCCAAUUGGAAAUAGAGUCGCAUACCGCGUAAAACAUAACUCCGCCUGUUGGAGGGUUGCAAGAUGCUUUCGGCUAUCAUUGUAGGGUGGACGCGCGGUGCAUUAGUUAGUUGGUGAGGUAAAGGCUCACCAAGUCCGUGAUGCAUUGCCGACCUCAGAGGGGAAUCGGCCACCUUGGAACUGAACCACGGCCCAGACUACUACGGGAGGCAGCAGAAGGGAAUCUUCCACAGUGGACGAAAGUCUGAUGGAGCAGCGCCGCGUGAGUGAAGAAGGUUUUCGGAUCGUAAAGCCCUGUUUUUGGAGAAGAAUGUAUCUGGUAUUAACUGAUCAGGGAGUGACGGUAUCCAACCAGAAAGCCACGGCUAACUACGUG
rnacentral:rRNA from 1 species